rnacentral:sRNA from 1 species
GCUGGGCACACUGGCGCAUACCUGUAAUCCCAGCUGCUCAGGAGGCUGAGGCAGGAGGAUUGCGAGUUCAAAGCCAGCCUCAGCAAUGGCGAGGAGCCAAGCAACUCAGUGAGACCCUGUCUCUG